CAAGCUACCAUUCGUACUUGCUCUAUUUGCGGGGUUGAGGAUAAGAGUACUUUCCACGCUCUUGUUUCUUGCCCAAAGGCUCGUGCACUUCGUUUGGCGUUGAGGAAAGUGUGGAAUUUGCCAGGGGAAUAGGCUUUCAAUUAUUCUGGACCUGACUGGUUACUUAUUUUAUUAGACCAGUUAAGUUGUUCGCAAAGGAAGCACAUCUUGUUUCUUUUAUGGCGAGCUUGGCACUUGAGGAAUGAUUUGAUUUGUGGGAAAGGAAAAGAAAUUGUUAAAGGAUACGUCAUGUUUUUGGAAAGUUACUGGUCGGCACUUUCGUCGUGUCAGCCUAUAAAUGAGGUAAUCACCAAUUACAAAGAAAAAAAGGUGGCGACUGGUUUUGGUGCAAGUAAUACUGUUGUGAGGUCCAGAGAGGUGUGGCAGCCACCUCCUUUUGGCCACAUCAAGAUCAAUGUCGAUGCAAAUUUUGUGGAGAGUUUAAGUGCCGCGAGUGUUGGGGUGGUGGUCAGGAACUUUAUUGGGUUAUGCUUUGGUGUGGAUGAAGCGGAGCUUCGAGCAUGCCUAGCUGGGCUUUAUAUCGGUAUUUCUCUUACCAUGCCUAUUAUCUUAGAAAUUGAUUGUGCGUUCGUGGCUCCUUUCCUAGCAAAUGAAAGUUGUGACAGAUCCUCGCUCAUAGACCUCAAGAAGGAAGCACUUAGCAUCAUCAGGCUUCUGGGAAACUUCAAGUUGUCAAAAAUAAAUAGAAGGGCCAAUUCAGUAGCGCAUGAGAUUGCUAAAUUUAGUUUUGAUAAUACUCCCUCCGUUUCUAAAUAUAAGUCUUUUUAG
rnacentral:rRNA from 1 species